rnacentral:lncRNA from 1 species
CACUCUUCACUUGAGUUUUUAUGAGAACUAAAUUGACAGCGGCAGUUCAUUAAGGGAACGUGAUUGAAUGUGCAUGGCUUGCUGAUAAACUUGGCUAUCCUGGAAAACACUGAGGACUACAAUAUCAGAAAUCAUUCUUCAUCUGUUCACACAGUUCAGCUACAAGAGCGUCAUCUCAC